rnacentral:rRNA from 1 species
AUUGAACGCUGGCGGCAUGCCUUACACAUGCAAGUCGAACGGCAGCACGGGAGCAAUCCUGGUGGCGAGUGGCGAACGGGUGAGUAAUAUAUCGGAACGUGCCCAGUCGUGGGGAUAACGUAGCGAAAGCUACGCUAAUACCGCAUACGAUCUAUGGAUGAAAGCGGGGGAUCGCAAGACCUCGCGCGAUUGGAGCGGCCGAUAUCAGAUUAGGUAGUUGGUGAGGUAAAGGCUCGCCAAGCCGACGAUCUGUAGCUGGUCUGAGAGGACGACCAGCCACACUGGGACUGAGACACGGCCCAGACUCCUACGGGAGGCAGCAGUGGGGAAUUUUUGGACAAUGGCGCAAGCCUGAUCCAGCAAUGCCGCGUGCAGGAUGAAGGCCUUCGGGUUGUAACGUAGCUUUU